rnacentral:rRNA from 1 species
UACAGAGGGUGCAAGCGUUUAAUCGGAAUUACUGGGCGUAAAGGGCUCGUAGGCGGCCAACUAAGUCAGACGUGAAAUCCCUCGGCUUAACCGGGGAACUGCGUCUGAUACUGGAUGGCUUGAGUUUGGGGAGAGGGAUGCGGAAUUCCAGGUGUAGCGGUGAAAUGCGUAGAUAUCUGGAGGAACACCGGUGGCGAAGGCGGCAUCCUGGACCAACACUGACGCUGAGUGAGCGAAAAGCCAGGGGGAGCAAAACGGGG